CACCUUCGGGAAACAUGGUUAGGAAACAAUCAAUGUUUUCUGAUAUGACCGCCUUUAAAGCCACAAGGAUAUAGGAAACAAUGUUCCCUGGUUUGUCCACCUUUGGGAGCAUUGCUAGGAAUCAAUGAUUCCUGGUCUGCCCACCUUUGGGGAGAGCAUGGUUAUAGGAAACAAUGUUCCCUGGUUUGCUCACUUUUGGGAAAUAUGGCUAGGAAAUAACACUUCCUGGCUUGCCAACCUUCGGGAAACAUGGCCAGUUUGGGCAAGGCAGACAUUGUUUCCUAGGCCCAUGCACUUUACGUUGUACGUAACAAGUACAUAUUACAUAACACCUGAGUCCCUAUUAUAUCCAUACAUGUCUCCUACCCUUCCAUAACCCUCCAUAGUUUAACAGUGCCAUCGUCUGAAGCAGAAGCAAGAAUGCUUUGUGUUGGAUGCCAUGAUAUACUGUUUACAUCUUGUUCAUGAGCUUUUUCACGUUUCGCCACCAAGUUAAAUAUUGGUUGAUUGUCAUCUGUCACAUUUGGAUC
rnacentral:lncRNA from 1 species